UGCUAAGUUCCUGUCUGA
rnacentral:piRNA from 1 species